rnacentral:rRNA from 1 species
GAGUGAACGCUGGCGGCAGGCCUAACACAUGCAAGUCGAGCGGCAGCGGGUCCCCGCGAGGGGAUGCCGGCGAGCGGCGGACGGGUGAGGAACACAUCGGAAUCUGCCUGGUUGUGGGGGAUAACGUAGGGAAACUUACGCUAAUACCGCAUGAGACCCUGAGUCGACGGACUGGGGGUGAAAGUGAGGGACCUUCGGGCCUCACGCGACCAGAUGAGCCGAUGUCGGAUUAGCUAGUUGGCGGGGUAACGGCCCGCCAAGGCGACGAUCCGUAGCUGGUCUGAGAGGAUGAUCAGCCACACUGGGACUGAGACACGGCCCAGACUCCUACGGGAGGCAGCAGUGGGGAAUCGUUGGAACAAUGGGCGCAAGCCUGAUUCAGCCAUGCCGCGUGGGUGAAG